AUACGAGGGGUGCAAGCGUUGUUCGGAAUUACUGGGCGUAAAGGGAGCGUAGGCGGAGAUUCAAGCGGAUUGUACAAUCCCGGGGCCCAACCCCGGCUCUGCAGUCCGAACUGGAUCUCUUGGAUAGUUCAGGGGCAGGCGGAAUUCCUGGUGUAGCGGUGGAAUGCGUAGAGAUCAGGAAGAACACCGAUGGCGAAGGCAGCCUGCUGGGGACUUAUCGACGCUGAGGCUCGAAAGUGCGGGUAGCAAACAGGAUUAGAUACCCUGGUAGUCCGCACCGUAAACGAUGCAUACUGGGUGUCCGGGGGUUCCCCCGGGUACCGUAGCCAACGCGUUAAGUAUGCCGCCUGGGGAGUACGUACGCAAGUAUGGAACUCAAAUGAAUUGACGGGG
rnacentral:rRNA from 1 species